ACUCCUACGGGGAGGCAGCAGUGGGGAAUUUUGGACAAUGGGCGAAAGCCUGAUCCAGCCAUGCCGCGUGCAGGAUGAAGGCCGUUCGGGUUGUAAACUGUCUUUUGUACGGAACGAAAGACUCUGGUUAAUACCGUGGGGUCCAUGACGGUACCGUAAGAAUAAGCACCGGCUAACUACGUGCCAGCAGCCGCGGUAAUACGUAGGGUGCAAGCGUUAAUCGGAAUUACGUGGGCGUAAAGCGUGCGCAGGCGGUUAUAUAAGACAGAUGUGAAACGUCCCCGGGCUCAACCUGGGAACUGCAUUUGUGACUGUAUAGCUAGAGUACGGCAGAGGGGGAUGGAAUUCCGCGUGUAG
rnacentral:rRNA from 1 species